ACACAAACUUUCUGGGUCUGUUUUGUAAGCUAUGAAAUGGAGCUAAAUUUUAGGGGUUUGUGAAUUGCUUUAAUUAAUAAUUGCCAAGCACACGUCUUCAGAUGGAAGGUAUCAUAUAAAUAUUAAUGAGCUGACUACUGUCUCUUAGGAAUCGUAAGCACCAUGGAUGGAUCAAAGAGGACAUGUAGCUCUAAGAGACAGAGUGGUGGGAGUUGGCUCUGUGUUUAACUAUAGUUUAAAGUAGAUCCUCAAGACUGUUGUGGAUAUUCCCUAUCAAGUUACAGCAGCUUUCAAUUAAAAUUACAUUUUAUCCUUAGGCAAAAUUCCACAGUGUACCUUUUAAUAUUAGCAGAGCACAUUUUCACUCAUGUAGAUAUUUCUUCUACACACAUGCAUUACUAGAGCUUUGUAAACAGGGGUCAAACCAACUGGGAAAUAGGGAUUUUACCUUCAUUUUCAUCUAAACAAAUACCCCUUACCUAGUUACAUUACCGAAAAACUUCCUGCUCUGCUGACGAUGCCGUGACAAGAAGCAGGAGGAGGACGUGGCAGCUGUUUGCUUCACAGUGUUCAUAGAUCAGUCUGGCAACACUUCAGACAUGGAGCUGUCCUUGGAAUGAAUAUGGCAGAAAGUGCCACAUGGCAAAGAUGCUGCUUCUGCUCUCCUGAGCAGUCACCUCCCGAGCCCGAGCAGCACAGAACACAGCUAAGGACAGGCUCGGGAGAGCUCCGAGCCCCUGCCUGGGCUCCGGGUGGGUGUGUUGGUGCAGUGGGCCAGGCGGCAUUGCAGCAUGGAGCCGGCUGCCCUGCUGGGCAGGCACGCUGGGGAGCAGGCUUGCAGCCUCCUCUGGAAUGCGGGAUGGCCGCAGGCCUCUGGAGUGUUUUCCAAGGAGGUGCUUACAUUUGUUUCUCUAAGGGUCUAGUAAAACUGCGGGGUUUUGUUGUUGGGGGUGGUAGCAGGGAAUGAGGAAGAGUUGCUUUGUUGUUUCUUGAAAAACCCAAAACAUCGGAAGACAACAGGGAGCGGGGACCAAAGGUCUUUCUUUCCCUGAGGAAAAUUCAGUCUCAUCAGCUGCCUUCUUACCUCUCUCAAGCUGUAAGACCCCGUGGCCAGCUUUCUGCCCACGUCUCAAGGGACAAGGCUUUCUAGAUGCUUUGGGAGCCUGACACAUGGCCAGCCAGGCCAUUUUCAGUGACUUGCUUCCUUCAUGAGGGCUGCACUUCAUUUCCUCAACAGUCACACCGAUGGCCCUCCGUCCUGCUCACCUCAGGCAUGUCCCCAUAAGCUCUGCUCUCUGCAGUUGCUGCUAAGGCAGUGCUGGAGCUGCCUCUGGUCUUCUCUACACUGGGGCAACUGGGGCUGAUUGCUUAGUGCUGGCAGCAAGAACAAAACUCAGAUGGCAUAGGCGCACACUCGGGGUGGUUGUAAUUGUGUCCCUGAGCUGCACAGAGGGAGUACAGCAAAGAGAUGGUGUUAAGAAUCCUUACCACUUUAUUGGCAAAAGAGGGAGGAAUCUGGAAGAUGCUCAGGACAGACAGCAUCUUGACAGCUAGGAAAAAGAAGCCCCAGAAAUUAAUCUCCUGGGGUGCCAAUGAAAGAUGGAAUGUUCACAACAUAUGAGUUGUGGCCAAAACAAUGGUCUAAUUAACUUGGCUCUGCUUGCUGUGUUCAAUGCUAAAAGAUGAGACAGAAAACAUAACUGUGUUUUGAUAAUAAAAUAAAUGUGGCCACAGUGCCAACAAUUUUUAGGCAAGGAACCAUGAAUCCAAACCAGAGGGAUGGGAGGUGAAUUUCUUCCCCUAGCCACACCAGGGAAUUUUACCCCUUACUAUGAAUAAUGUUUUUACAGCAAACCCAGGCACCAGUCCUAGCAAAUACCUCUCUGUAAACUGUAGCCCAAACGAAUCACUUUGGAAAAGGUCAUACCACCUCCUGUUCCCAGAAUUAAGUUAAUUAGCACUUGUCCCUCUCUGUAUAAGGUCAGGGAUCCUCCCACAAAGAAGGUACACAACCAGAUUGUUAAAAGAUGUACAUAUGCUGUCUUAAGCAAACAGGCUUCUUUGUAGUACCACUAAGAUUCCCUCUGGCCAUCCCUGUAGAAGAACUCUCAAUUGGAAGGGAAGCAGACCAGGAGAUUAGCGUAACCAGUGCUUUGCCAGGUACCAGGAGCACAGUACAGGUCAAUAGGCAUGCUGGUGGUUUCGUGUUAGCUAGCUAUCUCUCUCCAUCUGGGUGACUUUUAUCAGGUUCAGCACCAGCCUGUCAUGCAGAAUGAAAUAUUUAACCUAUGGAAAUGUUUUCUUAUUGAAUUUGAAAUAUUUGCAGUGCUUUUUCCCCUCUUGACACACUUUGUUUCCUCUUACUCCAUCCAGGCAUUUGGGCUAUAUAUACUGAAGUACUUCACUUCUCCUCCAUGUGACUAGCUACGUGCGCUGUGAGAAAGUAAAUCCAGACUUCAAAGCAUCUGACAGGAGGCAGGCAGGCCUUGUUUCUUCAUCGGUCCAAGAAAGAAGCUGAAGCACAGAGUGGCAAGGUCUCCCAGAGAAGACUGUGUGCCCUCUACAUGCCCCACUGGUGAGAAGAGGAAGGAAGUUUUAUAAAGGCGAAAGUGAGAGCUGAGGAAACGAGGUAGGUGGGAUAUGGAAAACACCUUCUGUCUCAAGAAUCCCCACUGACUGCAGCUUACAGAGAGCUCAGGUCAUCGGUACAUCCUGAGGAUCUGUCCAGCCCUGUGUUUUUACAAGUAUCUGAAAAAUGCCCAAACAGAAAUUCUUGUGAUUCAGAGGAUGGGAUAUGUGGAAGAACCAGCAGAGGUCCACAGAAAAAAUGCUGAUUGUUUAGUACCAAAAUAGGUAUUUAAAUCUCACUGUUGGGAAGACUGAAGUUCCAUGACCAAAUCUACCCCCCUGAAAUAAAAGGAAAAGUUCAGUGAGCCUGAGAUAUGAACACAUACAGCUGCCACUGGUUUUCCUCUCAAGAAAGAAAAAAAGCAAAAACAAAUAAACAAACCCAAACUGCCACCUUGAGCCUGAAUUUAGACACAAUCCUUUCUAUGACUUGCGGAAGAUAAGCAUUUUGUCCUAUUUCUGUAUAUAUCUUUGCCUUCUGAAACUUGUGAGGUCUUAGUAGCUUAUUAAUGGGCUUCCUGAAAGUGGCCUCAGCCUGCAUGGACUACCCCAAAAUAACUAGAAAUGCGUUAACCAAAUAUACCCAACUGAUCUAGAAAAAGAACAACUGACAUCA